UUGUUCUAUGUGAUAAAAAGGUUGAUGUAAAGAACAAGCAAGUUAAGGCAAAUCAGGUUACAUUCCAUAGGAAGAACCUGCAAUAUUAUGAAAUUUCGGCCCAGAGUAACUACGAUUUUGAGAAGCCUUUCUUGUACCUUGCUAGGAAGCUUGCAGGUGAUACUAAUCUUCACUUAGUGGAGUCCCCUGCUCUUGCUCCUCCAGAAGUACACAUCGACUUAGUUGCCCUUCAUCAGUAAGUAUUUUUCCCCAAAACUUAUUUUGCAUUCACCAUUUUUUUAAUUGCUUUUCGGAUGGCUUUUGCUUCAAGUAAAAUCCCUUUCCUUCAUAUCUUUAUACAUGCUUUGAAUCUGAUCCAAA